rnacentral:rRNA from 1 species
GAGGACUUGUGGAGCGCUUAGAAGUGAGAAUGCCGGUAUGAGUAGCGAAAGAUAGGUGAGAAUCCUAUCCACCGAAUGACUAAGGUUUCCUGGGGAAGGCUCGUCCUCCCAGGGUUAGUCGGGACCUAAGUCGAGGCCGAGAGGCGUAGACGAUGGAUAACAGGUUGAGAUUCCUGUACUAGUUAAGUGCGUUUGAGCAAUGGAGGGACGCAGGAGGCUAAGAUGUGCAUUCUGUUGGAUUAGAAUGUCCAAGCAGUAAGUCUUGUGAAGAGUCAAAUGCUUUUCACUUUAAGGACAAGCUGUGAUGGGGAGCGAAAUUUAGUAGCGAAGCGUCUGAUGUCACACUGCCGAGAAAAGCUUCUAGUGAGUACUUAACUACCCGUACCGCAAACCGACACAGGUAGUCGAGGAGAGAAUCCUAAGGUGAGCGAGUGAACUCUCGUUAAGGAACUCGGCAAAAUGACCCCGUAACUUCGGGAGAAGGGGUGCUGAUCGCAAGAUCAGCCGCAGUGAAUAGGCCCAGGCGACUGUUUAUCAAAAACACAGGUCUCUGCAAAAUCGUAAGAUGACGUAUAGGGGCUGACGCCUGCCCGGUGCUGGAAGGUUAAAAGGAUGGGUUAGCUUCGGCGAAGCUCAGAAUUGAAGCCCCAGUAAACGGCGGCCGUAACUAUAACGGUCCUAAGGUAGCGAAAUUCCUUGUCGGGUAAGUUCCGACCCGCACGAAAGGCGUAACGAUCUGGGCACUGUCUCAACGAGAGACUCGGUGAAAUUAUAUUGUCCGUGAAGAUGCGGACUACCCGCGACAGGACGGAAAGACCCCAUGGAGCUUUACUGUAGCUUGAUAUUGAGUGUUUGUACAGCUUGUACAGGAUAGGUAGGAGCCAUAGAAACCGGAACGCUAGUUUCGGUGGAGGCGUUGGUGGGAUACUACCCUCGCUGUAUGACCACUCUAACCCGCACCACUAAUCGUGGUGGGAGACAGUGUCAGGUGGGCAGUUUGACUGGGGCGGUCGCCUCCUAAAAAGUAACGGAGGCGCCCAAAGGUUCCCUCAGAAUGGUUGGAAAUCAUUCGCAGAGUGUAAAGGCACAAGGGAGCUUGACUGCGAGACAGACAGGUCGAGCAGGGACGAAAGUCGGGCUUAGUGAUCCGGUGGUACCGUAUGGAAGGGCCAUCGCUCAACGGAUAAAAGCUACCCUGGGGAUAACAGGCUUAUCUCCCCCAAGAGUCCACAUCGACGGGGAGGUUUGGCACCUCGAUGUCGGCUCAUCGCAUCCUGGGGCUGUAGUCGGUCCCAAGGGUUGGGCUGUUCGCCCAUUAAAGCGGUACGCGAGCUGGGUUCAGAACGUCGUGAGACAGUUCGGUCCCUAUCCGUCGCGGGCGUAGGAAAUUUGAGAGGACCUGUCCUUAGUACGAGAGGACCGGGAUGGACAUACCUCUGGUGUACCAGUUGUGCCGCCAGGCGCAUCGCUGGGUAGCUACGUAUGGAUGUGAUAAACGCUGAAAGCAUCUAAGUGUGAAACACACCUCGAGAUGAGAUUUCCCAUUCCUUUAUGGAAGUAAGACCCCUGAAAGAUGAUCAGGUAGAUAGGUUAGAAGUGGCAGUGCGGUGACGCAUGAAGCGGACUAAUACUAAUCGGUCGAGGACUUAACCAA